rnacentral:lncRNA from 1 species
UCAAAACUAAAAUCCAAUCGGAUUCAUUUAACAUACCACCGUCAUCACUUCUAACGUGUCUAUUGUUAUAAAAGUCAAUGAUUAAAUUUUCGAAACCUUUAUUCUGACUCAGACGGAGAAAUGCACUGGAGUACUGAUGUGUAUCAUCCACUUGAAUUUACAUAUGGUAAUGUUAAUCUAUUACCAAAAACAAGUCAUUUAUGGAUAUUAUUAGGAGGGGCGUGCAGAUCUAGUCUAGUCUCACUUUCGCUCCACAAGGAUCAAGAUCAAAUAAACGGACAUUCUCGUUCUGUCAAGCGAAGAUAUACUUCCAACCUCUCAGAAACUAAUGAUUUGGAGAGACAAAAACUCUUUAGUUCGUAUUUUUAUGGUAAAAAAAGAAGAAGAUAAGGUCCUAAAAACGCUGGUUUUAAGAAUGAGUGAUUGCCCUUCUCUGACCUUUACUGCCCAACCUGAGAACAGACAGCUAAUGUGUUCCACUUAUUGAACAGGGUUCUAUGGUCGGUCCGUGACCCCUGGAUGCCAAAGGCGCCCUUGGGGUGAUCUCGUAGUUCCUACGGGGUGGAGAUGAUGGGGUCGGUCCAUGGAUUUUCCUUCUUGCUCCCAUUGGACCAUUUGUAUCUAUAUGCAUCAGGAUCCCGAUUCAUGGAUUUCUCGGUUCGAGAAAUCAAGAUAAG